UACGUAGGGUGCGAGCGUUGUCCGGAAUUAUUGGGCGUAAAGAGCUCGUAGGCGGUCUGUCGCGUCGAUCGUGAAAACUCACAGCUUAACUGUGGGCGUGCGGGCGAUACGGGCAGACUGGAGUACUGCAGGGGAGACUGGAAUUCCUGGUGUAGCGGUGGAAUGCGCAGAUAUCAGGAGGAACACCGGUGGCGAAGGCGGGUCUCUGGGCAGUAACUGACGCUGAGGAGCGAAAGCGUGGGGAGCGAACAGG
rnacentral:rRNA from 1 species